rnacentral:rRNA from 1 species
GUAGGUGGCAAGCGUUGUCCGGAAUUAUUGGGCGUAAAGCGCGCGCAGGCGGUCCUUUAAGUCUGAUGUGAAAGCCCACGGCUCAACCGUGGAGGGUCAUUGGAAACUGGGGGACUUGAGUACAGAAGAGGAAAGCGGAAUUCCAAGUGUAGCGGUGAAAUGCGUAGAGAUUUGGAGGAACACCAGUGGCGAAGGCGGCUUUCUGGUCUGUGACUGACGCUGAGGCGCGAAAGCGUGGGGAGCAAACAGGGAUUAGAUACCCUGGUAGUCCACGCCGUAAACGAUGAGUGCUAAGUGUUAGGGGGUUUCCCGCCCCUUAGUGCUGCAGCUAACGCAUUAAGCACUCCGCCUGGGGAGUACGGCCGCAAGGCUG